rnacentral:rRNA from 1 species
UACGGAGGGGGCUAGCGUUGUUCGGAAUUAUUGGGCGUAAAGAGCUCGUAGGCGGCUUGUCACGUCGGAUGUGAAAGCCCGGGGCUUAACUCCGGGUCUGCAUUCGAUACGGGCUGGCUAGAGUGUGGUAGGGGAGAUCGGAAUUCCUGGUGUAGCGGUGAAAUGCGCAGAUAUCAGGAGGAACACCGGUGGCGAAGGCGGAUCUCUGGGCCAUUACUGACGCUGAGGAGCGAAAGCGUGGGGAGCGAACAGG